GAGCUGUGAUGAGUUCUGCGCUCCUGUGAUGGUUGGGUCCAUCACCUUCAUCUGAUCCUCAGAUGAAAACACGCGCUUCUGAGCUC